rnacentral:rRNA from 1 species
AUGCUCCUAACAAAGCCCCACCCCGCCCUCGUCCUCCCCUCCGCGUCCCUCCCAAAUCCUAACCUAAACGCCGCCCGCGUCCGGCCCCUCGCCUCGUCCGCGCCCCAUGGACGCCGCGGGCUCCGCGUCUCGGCCUCCUCCUCCCUGGCGCCAGCGCAGGCCGCGUCCGCGGCGCUGAACCGUGUGGACGUCCUGUCGGAGGCGCUCCCCUUCAUCCAGCGGUUCAAGGGCAAGACGGUGGUGGUGAAGUACGGCGGCGCGGCCAUGAAGUCGCCGGAGCUGCAGGCGUCCGUGAUCCGCGACCUGGUCCUCCUCUCCUGCGUCGGCCUGCGCCCCGUGCUCGUGCACGGCGGCGGCCCGGAGAUCAACUCCUGGCUGCAGCGCGUCGGCGUCGAGCCGCAGUUCCGCAACGGCCUCCGCGUCACCGACGCGCUCACCAUGGAGGUCGUGGAGAUGGUGCUGGUCGGCAAGGUCAACAAGCAGCUCGUCUCCCUCAUCAGCCUCGCCGGCGCCACCGCCGUCGGCCUCUGCGGCAAGGACGCGCGCCUCCUCACUGCGCGCCCUUCCCCCGACGCGGCAGCCCUUGGGUUCGUCGGCGAGGUCACGCGCGUCGACCCCUCGGUGCUCCACCCGAUCAUCGCCUCCGGCCACAUCCCGGUCAUCGCCACCGUGGCUGCCGACGAGACCGGGCAGGCCUAUAACAUCAACGCCGACACUGCGGCGGGGGAGAUCGCAGCUGCCAUUGGCGCCGAGAAGCUGCUUCUGAUCACCGACGUGUCCGGCAUACUCGCGGACCGGGAUGACCCCGGUAGCCUGGUGAAGGAGAUUGAUAUCGCCGGCGUACGGCAGAUGGUGGCCGAGGGGAAAGUGGGUGGGGGCAUGAUACCCAAGGUGGAGUGCUGCGUGCGCGCACUGGCGCAGGGCGUGCACACGGCCAGCAUCAUUGACGGCCGCGUCCCGCACUCUCUCCUGCUCGAAAUCCUCACCGACGAGGGCACCGGCACCAUGAUCACCGGCUGA